AUAGCGUAUAUUAAAGUUGUUGCAGUUAAAAAGCUCGUAGUUGGAUUUUGGGAUGUACUUUCAAGAGGAUCGGUCUGCCUCCACGUGAGGUGUGCACUGUCCUCGACAUCCUUCCAGCGGGUCUUGGUUCUAUCUGCCCUUAACUGGGUGGGUAGAUACCUCCCGCUCGUUUACUUUGAAAAAAUUAGAGUGUUUAAAGCAGGCGGUCUCCGCCACUGAAUACAUUAGCAUGGGAUAAUGGAAUAGGAUUGUCUUUCCGAUUUCGUUGGUUUCCGGAACGGACGAUAAUGAUUAAUAGAGAUAGUUGGGGACAUUUAUAUUCCAUGGUCAGAGGUGAAAUUCUUGGAUUCAUGGAAGAUAAACAAGUG
rnacentral:rRNA from 1 species